rnacentral:rRNA from 1 species
AGAGUUUGAUCCUGGCUCAGAUUGAACGCUGGCGGUAGGCUUAACACAUGCAAGUCGUGCGAGAAAGUAUCUUCGGAUAUGAGUAGAGCGGCGGACGGGUGAGUAACGCGUAGGAAUCUACCUAGUAGAAGGGGAUAGCCCGGGGAAACUCGGAUUAAUACCGUAUACCUCCUUCGGGAGAAAGAAGGCCUCUCUUUGAUGCUUUCGCUAUUAGAUGAGCCUGCGUAAGAUUAGCUUGUUGGUGAGGUAAAGGCUCACCAAGGCGACGAUCUUUAGCUGGUCUGAGAGGACGAUCAGCCACAUUGGGACUGAGACACGGCCCAGACUCCUACGGGAGGCAGCAGUGGGGAAUAUUGGACAAUGGGCGCAAGCCUGAUCCAGCCAUACCGCGUGUGUGAAGAAGGCCUUCGGGUUGUAAAGCACUUUAAGCAGGGAGAAAAAGUUAUAAGUUAAUACCUUAUAGCCGUGAUGUUACCUGCAGAAUAAGCACCGGCUAAUUCCGUGCCAGCAGCCGCGGUAAUACGGAAGGUGCAAGCGUUAAUCGGAAUUACUGGGCGUAAAGCGCGCGUAGGUGGUUUGUUAAGUUGGAUGUGAAAGCCCUGGGCUCAACCUAGGAACUGCAUCCAAAACUAACUCACUAGAGUACGAUAGAGGGAGGUAGAAUUCAUAGUGUAGCGGUGGAAUGCGUAGAUAUUAUGAAGAAUACCAGUGGCGAAGGCGGCCUCCUGGAUCUGUACUGACACUGAGGUGCGAAAGCGUGGGUAGCGAACAGGAUUAGAUACCCUGGUAGUCCACGCCGUAAACGAUGACAACUAGCUGUUGGGAGACAAUGUCUUUCAGUGGCGUAGCUAACGUUUUAAGUUGUCCGCCUGGGGAGUACGGCCGCAAGGCUAAAACUCAAAGGAAUUGACGG